rnacentral:rRNA from 1 species
CUACGGGUGGCUGCAGUGGGGAAUAUUGGACAAUGGGGGAAACCCUGAUCCAGCAAUGCCGCGUGUAUGAAGAAGGCCUGCGGGUUGUAAAGCACUUUCGGUUGGGAGGACUGCUUCUAGCACUAAUAUUGUUGGAAGUUGACGUUACCUUCAGAAGAAGCACCGGCUAACUCCGUGCCAGGCAGCCGCGGUAAUACGGGAGGGUGCAAGCGUUAAUCGGAAUUACUGGGCGUAAAGCGCGCGUAGGCGGCUAGAUCAGUCGGGUGUGAAAGCCCCGGGCUUAACCUGGGAACUGCAUCCGAUACUGUCUAGCUUGAGUACAGGAGAGGAGAGUGGAAUUCCACAUGUAGCGGUGAAAUGCGUAGAUAUGUGGAGGAACACCAAUGGCGAAGGCAGCUCUCUGGCCUGAUACUGACGCUGAGGUGCGAAAGCGUGGGGAGCAAACAGGAUUAGAUACCCCCGUAGUC